GAUGAACGCUAGCUACAGGCUUAACACAUGCAAGUCGCGGGGCAGCAUGGGGGUUGCUUGCAAUCCCCGAUGGCGACCGGCGCACGGGUGAGUAACGCGUAUCCAACCUGCCCUUCACCACGGGAUAACCCGGCGAAAGUCGGACUAAUACCGUAUGUUGUCCAUUGACGGCAUCCGAUUUGGACGAAAGGCUUGGCGGUGAGGGAUGGGGAUGCGUCCGAUUAGCCAGACGGCGGGGUAACGGCCCACCGUGGCUACGAUCGGUAGGGGUUCUGAGAGGUAGGUCCCCCACACUGGAACUGAGACACGGUCCAGACUCCUACGGGAGGCAGCAGUGAGGAAUAUUGGUCAAUGGGCGUAAGCCUGAACCAGCCAAGUAGCGUGCAGGAUGACGGCCCUAUGGGUUGUAAACUGCUUUUAUGCGGGGAUAAAGUGGCCCACGUGUGGGCUUUUGCAGGUACCGCAUGAAUAAGGACCGGCUAAUUCCGUG
rnacentral:rRNA from 1 species